AGCACAUGAUUAAAUAAUUUAUCAUGUGAAGGCAGUGCUGGUAGAGUGAAUGCUCUUAUUUGUAUUUAUUGCAGGUCUGAUUUUGUUCUAUUUUUCUUAUAGGCCUGGAUGGCCAGGGAAUAGGCUGCCCACAAGAGGAGGAAGGCACAGGAGGAAGGCCUCUGGUCUGUGUGGGAACAGGAAGAAGAGCAAUCAGGUUGGGAAGGAAGUUUCAGAGAUGAAGAUUUGGAGAGGACCUGGGAGAUCUGGAAUUAAUCUCAGAUCAUCCAUUUGAAAUGCUAUCUGGAGCAAGCUUCUCUUUUUGAGGGCUCAGAUUCCUUUGUGAAAAAUGGCACCUGUUACUUAGAGGCUUCUGAUGGAUUGAGCGUAAGUUUUACUUUUUUCUAAUAUAUG
rnacentral:lncRNA from 1 species